GUGCUCGCUUCAGCAGCACAUAUACUAAAAUUGGAACGAUGCAGGGAAGAUUAGCAUGGCUCCUGCGCAGGAAAAAAAAAAAAAAAAAGAGUAAGUGAUAUGC